UGCUUGCACCUUUCAAGCGAGUGGCGAACGGGUGAGUAACACGUGGAUAACCUGCCUCAAGGCUGGGGAUAACAUUUGGAAACAGAUGCUAAUACCGAAUAAAACUUAGUAUCGCAUGAUACAAAGUUGAAAGGCGCUACGGCGUCACCUAGAGAUGGGUCCGCGGUGCAUUAGUUAGUUGGUGGGGUAAAGGCCUACCAAGACAAUGAUGCAUAGCCGAGUUGAGAGACUGAUCGGCCACAUUGGGACUGAGACACGGCCCAAACUCCUACGGGAGGCUGCAGUAGGGAAUCUUCCACAAUGGGCGAAAGCCUGAUGGAGCAACGCCGCGUGUGUGAUGAAGGCUUUAGGGUCGUAAAGCACUGUUGUAUGGGAAGAAAUGCUAGAAUAGGGAAUGAUUCUAGUUCGACGGUACCAUACCAGAAAGGGACGGCUAAAUACGUGCCAGCAGCCGCGGUAAUACGUAUGUCCCGAGCGUUAUCCGGAUUUAUUGGGCGUAAAGCGAGCGCAGACGGUUGAUUAAGUCUGAUGUGAAAGCCCGGAGCUCAACUCCGGAAUGGCAUUGGAAACUGGUUAACUUGAGUGUUGUAGAGGUAAGUGGAACUCCAUGUGGUUAG
rnacentral:rRNA from 1 species